CCUACGGGAGGCUGCAGUGAGGAAUAUUGGUCAAUGGCCGGGAGGCUGAACCAGCCAAGUCGCGUGAGGGAAGACGGCCCUACGGGUUGUAAACCUCUUUUGUCAGGGAGCAAGGUGCAGGUCGGGACCUGCUGUGAGAGUACCUGAAGAAAAAGCAUCGGCUAACUCCGUGCCAGCAGCCGCGGUACUACGGAGGAUGCGGGCGUUAUCCGGAUUUAUUGGGUUUAAAGGGUGCGCAGGUGGAGGCACAAGUCAGCGGUAAAAUCGCGGGGCUCAACCCCGCUCCGCCGUUGAAACUGUGUGCCUUGAGUGCGCGAAGGGUAGGCGGAAUGCGUGGUGUAGCGGUGAAAUGCAUAGAUAUCACGCAGAACUCCGAUCGCGAAGGCAGCCUACCGGCGCGCAACUGACGCUCAUGCACGAAAGCGUGGGUAUCGAACAGGAUUAGAUACCCCUGUAGUC
rnacentral:rRNA from 1 species